AAUGUUAAUAAUAAUCUUUUCUUUUUUGAUAACUCACGAAUAGACAUUAACUCGUAUAUUGCCCAAAAAUGUAUUACAUGUAAUUUCUUUUGAGUUUCAAACGGAACGAGAAAACCGCCUAUUAUUUUAGCGUCGUUUUCGUGAUCUCCGUGAAAGUCCUUAAGUAACUGGUUUUGAGAUUCAAUCUAUUUAUUUACCAUAUUUUCGUCUACCCAUAAAGCAGACGAUCAAGUUGCGCGCUACACGGUAAUUCAAAUAAGUUGACUGCGGGUUACAAACGUAACGAUAAGGUUGUGCUUUAAAAAAGUGUUCUGAGACGUAUUCUAAACCGAGAUAGAGUAGCUCAACGCAUCGCCUACGCUAUUUAGAUGUGACACAACAAACGUGAAAUCAAGAAUUCAAUCAUAAUUAGUGCUUUGCAAACCUCUUUAAUGAAAUAAGCAUCUGGUGCUUGCAUUGAAACCAAGUCGCAAAACCAAUAUUUUUAAUUUAGAUAUAGCAGUGUUUGUGUAAACCGUUCGCUGGAUUUCUGCCUAACAAGAAUCGUACAUAUGGGUAUCAAAAACAGACUGAUGGAAAACCGGCUUCGAAUGAGUCGCUCAUUGAUCGACGAAGCGACGAAUCUUUUGACGAUACUGCUCACUGCAGCUUAUAGCGAUAGGCCGGAAGCGGUUGCUGAUAUUUUGGAGGCUGAAAGGAGAAGGCUAAACGAGGAGGUGACAAGGCUCCAGGAUAGCGUAUCGACUAUGACGGUGGCAAUACGGAGUUACCCCGAUGACCUAGCGUCAAUUAAGAAGAUUCACGAAACCGCAAAUGACUUAUAUGCAAAACGCGGAAAUCAGUGAUCUGUGUAAUCAAUUGAAAGCAAUGUCGGAAACGCGUAGUAUAACUAUUUCUGUCUAAAUAUCUUGUAAACACUAAUGUUUUGUGUUGCGUAUCUGAAGCAUAAAUGAGAAGACUUCAAAUUCUCAGGAUUAUUUUUUUCUUUAUUGUAUAGCUACCGAGAACAUAAUUCAUCAAUAAUAGGUUAAAAUAAAUGAACGAUGAUCAAAACUAUACCAUCUAUUAUACAUCAGCAACACACACAUAUUCUACUUUUUAUUGCAUACCAGUUACUUCAACGAUACGUAAAGCUCCGGUCAUCUCUCAGUUCGACCACAACGAUCCUCAUAACAAAGCGAGAUGCAACGGGGUCAUGCCUCCAUUCGAAGUUGCGUUGAUAUCGGCUCCGGCAGCAAUAAGAGCGUGGGCAAUCUCGUAG